rnacentral:rRNA from 1 species
UACGGAGGGUGCGAGCGUUAUUCGGAAUUACUGGGCGUAAAGCGCGUGUAGGCGGCAGGGCAAGUCUGGUGUGAAAGCCCGGGGCUCAACCCCGGAAGUGCAAUGGAAACUGCUCUGCUUGAGUACCGGAGAGGAAGGUGGAAUUCCCGGUGUAGCGGUGAAAUGCGUAGAUAUCGGGAGGAAUACCAGUGGCGAAGGCGCCCUUCUGGACGGUUACUGACGCUGAGACGCGAAAGCGUGGGGAGCAAACAGG